rnacentral:rRNA from 1 species
ACCAGCGGAGAGAUCAUUAUCGAGUUUAUCCAUCUCCCAACCAUAUGUGAACCUACCUUUAUGUUGCUUCGGCGGUCUCGCGCCGGGCUGCUCCCCUAGGGGGCUCCCGAGACCACGCGUCCGCCGGAGACCACAAACUCUUGAUUUUGCGAAAGCAGUAUUAUUCUGAGUGGCCGAAAGGCAAAAAACAAAUGAAUCAAAACUUUCAACAACGGAUCUCUUGGUUCUGGCAUCGAUGAAGAACGCAGCGAAAUGCGAUAAGUAAUGUGAAUUGCAGAAUUCAGUGAAUCAUCGAAUCUUUGAACGCACAUUGCGCCCGCCAGCAUUCUGGCGGGCAUGCCUGUUCGAGCGUCAUUUCAACCCUCGAGCUCGUCUUCAUUGACGAGAUCGGUGUUGGGACCCGGCGAGCGGGGGACUCACGUCCCUCUGCCGGUCCCGAAAUUCAGUGGCGGCCCGUUGCGGCGACCUCUGCGUAGUAACUUAACCUCGCACUGGGACAGCAGCGCGGCCACGCCGUAAAACCCCCGACUUUUUUAAGGUUGACCUCGAAUCAGGUAGGACUACCCGCUGAACUUAAGCAUAUCAAUAAGCGGAGGAAAAGAAACCAACAGGGAUUGCCUCAGUAACG